rnacentral:rRNA from 1 species
UUUUUAUCAAUGAUGUCGUCUGCUCAAUGAGUUGAUUAAAUAGCCGCAGUACUUUGACUGUGCAAAGGUAGCAUAAUCAAUUGGCCUCUAAUUGGGGUCUGGCAUGAAUGAAUGUAUGGGGGGUCGCUGUCUUAGAAGGAUUCAUAAAAAUUACUGAAGAAGUGCAAAGACUUCUAGCAAUAAAUUAGACGAGAAGACCCUAGAAAUUUAUAUAAUUAUUUUGUUGGGGCGACAGGGUAACAAGUGAACUUACCUAUUCAUUAGAAUUAUGUAGACAGAACAGGAAAAUUACUCUAGGGAUAACAGCAUAAUUUUGAUAAAGAUUGUGACCUCGAUGUUGGACUAGGAACGGUAAAGGCUUAGCAAGUACUUAUUGUGGUUCUGUUCGAACUGGUAUUCCUAC